AUACGGAGGAUCCGAGCGUUAUCCGGAUUUAUUGGGUUUAAAGGGAGCGUAGGCGGAUGUUUAAGUCAGUUGUGAAAGUUUAAGGCUCAACCUUGAAAUUGCAGUUGAUACUGGACGUCUUGAGUGCAUUAAAUGUGGGCGGAAUUCGUGGUGUAGCGGUGAAAUGCUUAGAUAUCACGAAGAACUCCAAUUGCGAAGGCAGCUCACAGGACUGUAACUGACGCUGAUGCUCGAAAGUGUGGGUAUCAAACAGGAUUAGAUACCCUGGUAGUCCACACAGUAAACGAUGAAUACUCGCUGUUUGCGAUAUACAGUAAGCGGCCAAGCGAAAGCGUUAAGUAUUCCACCUGGGGAGUACGCCGGCAACGGUGA
rnacentral:rRNA from 1 species